GAUGAACGCUGGCGGCGUGCCUAAUACAUGCAAGUCGAGCGAAGCGGGGACGGGUGAGUAACACGUGGAUAACCUCCUAUAAGACUGGGAUAACUUCGGGACACCGGGGCUAAACCGGAAACUUAUAGAUGGAUCCGCACUGCAUUGGCUAGUUGGUAAGGUAACGGCUUACUAAGGCAACGAUGCAUAGCCUACCUGCGCGGGUGAUAGGCCACCCUGGAACUGAGACACGGUCCAGACUCCUACGGGAGGCAGCAGUAGGGAAUCUUCCGCAAUGGGCGAAAGCCUGACGGAGCAACGCCGCGUGAGUGAUGAAGGUCUUCGGAUCGUAAAACUCUGUUAUUAGGGAAGCGGUACCUAAGCAGAAAGCCACGGCUAACGACGUGCCAGCGGCCGCGGUAAUUC
rnacentral:rRNA from 1 species